rnacentral:rRNA from 1 species
UACAGAGGGUGCGAGCGUUUAAUCGGAAUUACUGGGCGUAAAGCGCACGUAGGCGGCUUGGUAUGUCGGGUGUGAAAUCCCCCGGGCUCAACCUGGGAACUGCAUCCGAAACUGCCUUGCUCGAGUAUGGGAGAGGGAAGUGGAAUUUCCGGUGUAGCGGUGAAAUGCGUAGAUAUCGGAAGGAACAUCAGUGGCGAAGGCGACUUCCUGGACCAAUACUGACGCUCAGGUGCGAAAGCGUGGGGAGCAAACAGGG